UUGGGGGCUGCGCAAAACAGCGAGCACACGGCGGGCGUCGACGGCGUGCUGUUCACUGCGCAGAACAAAGCAGCGAGCCGCGCGGAGGCGUUGGGGGCUGCUGCUCACGACGAGAAAAACUGGGCGCAGGAAACAGCAGGGGGAAACGCCGGAGCAAUGGAGAGCGCGCUCAAGAGGCCGACGGCGCUCUGCGCGAUGGUCCCUGGCUGGGGCGAGCAGGGCAUCCGAGGGAGGGAAGGGUGCUGUCCACGGCUGGGAGAACCUUGCGCGCACUGCCCCAAUGCCGAUCUGGAACAGAGAAGGAAGAAAGGAGGGCUCGACCAUCGAAGUUUGCUGGUCGGCCAUGGGGACGGGGGUGCGGCCUUGGAGCUCCGGCGUUCAAGGGAAGCAGCGAGAGGGAGUUGCAGACCGGAGCUCGAAUGGCAUCUAGCCAGCGCGCGCAGGGGGAGAUGGUGA
rnacentral:misc_RNA from 1 species